rnacentral:tRNA from 1 species
GCGCCCGUAGCUCAGUGGAUUAGAGCGUCUAGCUACGGACUAGAAGGUCGGGGGUUCGACUCCCUCCGGGCGCGCCA